rnacentral:tRNA from 1 species
GUCUUUGUAGUAUAUAAAAUACCCUGGUCUUGUAAACCAGAAAAGGAGAAUCACUCCUCCCCAAGACU